AGCGAACGCUGGCGGCAGGCCUAACACAUGCAAGUCGAACGAACCUUUCGGGGUUAGUGGCGGACGGGUGAGUAACACGUGGGAACGUGCCUUUAGGUUCGGAAUAACUCAGGGAAACUUGUGCUAAUACCGAAUGUGCCCUUCGGGGGAAAGAUUUAUCGCCUUUAGAGCGGCCCGCGUCUGAUUAGCUAGUUGGUUGAGGUAAUGGCUCACCAAGGCGACGAUCAGUAGCUGGUCUGAGAGGAUGAUCAGCCACAUUGGUACUGAGACACGGCCCAAACUCCUACGGGAGGGAGCAGUGGGGGAUCGUGCGCAAUGGGCGAAAGGCUGACGCAGCCAUGCCGCGUGAAUGAUGAAGGUCUGAGGAUAGUAAAAUUCUUUAACCGGGGACGAUAAUGACGGUACCCGGAGAAGAAGCCCCGGCUAACUUCGUG
rnacentral:rRNA from 1 species